GUGACAUACAACUGCUGGUAUUAUUUCUGCCUUUUAAGCUUUCCAAUGUAGUAAAUGCAGACAGCUUUUAACACUCAAAUUUGUAGAGUAAUAAAGACAACCACCCAAACUCACAAAAGCACACUGCAGCAUUUAAUGUGAUGCUCAAGAUAAGAGGACUGGGUUCAGUACUCCUGGAAUUUGAGUUAUAGGAUUCCAAUGCAGAAAUUUAAAUCACGGGAUAUUUGUUUGUCCAUUUGAUAAAGCACUUUGCCCCUUCUGUCCCACAUUUUAAAAUCAUAUUAACGUUUUGAAUGAGGAUGAUCCUCUGUCUGGCUGCCUUUCAAACAAAGAAAAAGAGGAGGAGCCCUGUUCCCAACUAGUGGAAAUAAAGGGAAAUCAACCUCCAGUCUCUCUAAACUUGACCUCUUCUGAUUUCUUCCUGAAUCCUGAUUAUUCCAAGGUAUACUCCAUUUUUAGGAACUUGUCACUUCCUGCCAGGACUUACUUUUUCUUUUGCAAUUGAGAUCAGCUGUACAUGCUGUUCUCUCAAUCGUUCCUUAGAUAGCAACCUAAGAUGGGUCAAGUUCUAACAAGGAAAGAAACAAAGACUCAUUCUAUUAUAAGUGCUAUUCUAAGCUACCACACAAUGGCUCAGCAGUUAAAGAUGCCGAGCUUCUCAGCUAAAAAGCUGACACCCAGAGUAAAGACCUGAGUACCACUCAACAGGGUAAGUUCCCAUUACUUGGCUCACCUAGCAGUUUGAAAGCAUCCAAAUAUCAGUAGAUAAUUAGGUAACAUUUUAAUGGGAAAGAUAACAGCCUUCCAUGUGCUUAUGGCAUAUAGUCAUGCUGGCCACAUGACCAUAGAAGUGUCUUUGGACAAUGCUGGGCCCCUUGGCUAGGAAACAGUGAAGAGCACCAUCCUCUAGACUGGACAGUGGAAAUCUUUACCUUUACUUUUACCAUUUUGAUAUGUUGAAAAGAAAGGUUUGUCUAGAUAAUUUUCUUGAGCAUUGCUAUUGUAUAGUUAGUAUUGAUGAAUAAGGCUGCUAAAGUGUCCCAUUAAGCAACAGACCAUAUCAAUGAAAACAUAUCACAAAUUUAACCAAAAUAAGAGUUAAUAAGUUUAACCAAAAUUAGAAGUCUUCUAGUCCACCACCCCCACUACACCAAUCCAGACAAAUGGCUUUCCAAUCUCUUCUUAAAAGCCUCGAGGGAUGGAGCAUCUACAACUUCUGAAGGCAAGCUAUUCCACUGGUUAAUU